UAGGGAAUCUUCGGCAAUGGACGAAAGUCUGACCGAGCAACGCCGCGGGAGGGAAGAAGGUUUUCGGAUCGUAAAACUCUGUUGUUAGAGAAGAACAAGGACGUUAGUAACUGAACGUCCCCUGACGGUAUCUAACCAGAAAGCCACGGCUAACUACGUGCCAGCAGCCGCGGUAAUACGUAGGCGGCAAGCGUUGUCCGGAUUUAUUGGGCGUAAAGCGAGCGCAGGCGGUUUCUUAAGUCUGAUGUGAAAGCCCCCGGCUCAACCGGGGAGGGUCAUUGGCAACUGGGAGACUUGAGUGCAGAAGAGGGGGGUGGAAUUCCAUGUGUAGCGGUGAAAUGCGUAGAUAUAUGGAGGAACACCAGUGGCGAAGGCGGCUCUCUGGUCUGUUACUGACGCUGAGGCUCGAAAGCGUGGGGAGCAAACAGG
rnacentral:rRNA from 1 species